GGGGGUAUAGCUCAGUGGCAGAGCAUUCGACUACAGGUCGACCGUCCCUGGUUUAAACCCGGGUGCUCCCU